GGGUUGUGAGGUUAAGCGACUAAGCGUACACGGUGGAUGCCCUGGCAGUCAGAGGCGAUGAAGGACGUGCUAAUCUGCGAUAAGCGCCGGUAAGGUGAUAUGAACCGUUAUAACCGGCGAUUUCCGAAUGGGGAAACCCAGUGUGAUUCGUCACACUAUCAUUAACUGAAUCCAUAGGUUAAUGAGGCGAACCGGGGGAACUGAAACAUCUAAGUACCCCGAGGAAAAGAAAUCAACCGAGAUUCCCCCAGUAGCGGCGAGCGAACGGGGAGGAGCCCAGAGCCUGAAUCAGCAUGUGUGUUAGUGGAAGCGUCUGGAAAGGCGCGCGAUACAGGGUGACAGCCCCGUACACAAAAGCGCAUGUGCUGUGAGCUCGAUGAGUAGGGCGGGACACGUGGUAUCCUGUCUGAAUAUGGGGGGACCAUCCUCCAAGGCUAAAUACUCCUGACUGACCGAUAGUGAACCAGUACCGUGAGGGAAAGGCGAAAAGAACCCCGGCGAGGGGAGUGAAAAAGAACCUGAAACCGUGUACGUACAAGCAGUGGGAGCACAGGUUUACCUGUGUGACUGCGUACCUUUUGUAUAAUGGGUCAGCGACUUAUAUUCUGUAGCAAGGUUAACCGUAUAGGGGAGCCGCAGGGAAACCGAGUCUUAACCGGGCGUUAAGUUGCAGGGUAUAGACCCGAAACCCGGUGAUCUAGCCAUGGGCAGGUUGAAGGUUGGGUAACACUAACUGGAGGACCGAACCGACUAAUGUUGAAAAAUUAGCGGAUGACCUGUGGCUGGGGGUGAAAGGCCAAUCAAACCGGGAGAUAGCUGGUUCUCCCCGAAAGCUAUUUAGGUAGCGCCUCGUGAAUUCAUCUCCGGGGGUAGAGCACUGUUUCGGCUAGGGGGCCAUCCCGGCUUACCAACCCGAUGCAAACUGCGAAUACCGGAGAAUGUUAUCACGGGAGACACACGGCGGGUGCUAACGUCCGUCGUGAAGAGGGAAACAACCCAGACCGCCAGCUAAGGUCCCAAAGUCAUGGUUAAGUGGGAAACGAUGUGGGAAGGCCCAGACAGCCAGGAUGUUGGCUUAGAAGCAGCCAUCAUUUAAAGAAAGCGUAAUAGCUCACUGGUCGAGUCGGCCUGCGCGGAAGAUGUAACGGGGCUAAACCAUGCACCGAAGCUGCGGCAGCGA
rnacentral:rRNA from 1 species